GAUGAACGCUAGCGGCAGGCUUAACACAUGCAAGUCGAGGGGUAGAGGAAGCUUGCUUCCUUGAGACCGGCGCACGGGUGCGUAACGCGUAUGCAACCUACCUUUUACAGAGGGAUAGCCCAGAGAAAUUUGGAUUAAUACCUCAUGGUAUAUAUCAUUCGCAUGUUUGAUAUAUUAAAGUUCCAACGGUAAAAGAUGGGCAUGCGUCCUAUUAGCUAGAUGGUAAGGUAACGGCUUACCAUGGCAACGAUAGGUAGGGGUCCUGAGAGGGAGAUCACCCACACUGGUACUGGGACACGGACCAGACGCCGACGGGAGGCAGCAGUGAGGAAUAUUGGACAAUGGGCGCAAGCCUGAUCCAGCCAUGCCGCGUGCAGGAAGAAGCAUCUAUGGUGUGUAAACUGCUUUUGUACGGGAAGAAACACUCCUUCGUGAAGGAGCUUGACGGUACCGUAAGAAUAAGGAUCGGCUAACUCCGUGCCAGCCGCCGCCGUAAUAC
rnacentral:rRNA from 1 species